rnacentral:lncRNA from 10 species
UUGUGGCUCCCGGCUCCUUUUUCUGGAACAGUUGCCAGGAGAGUGGAGUGAGGAGUGGAAGUAAGUAAAAGGAGGUAAGUAAAAGGAGGGUGGAUGGGGGAGAGUGGAAUGCCAUCCUUUUCUCAGAGCCUUUCCACCAAUCAUUGGAAUCUAUCUGAAAAUUUCUCUCUGCCUAAUGAAUACGGUGAGUGGACGGAGGCUUGGUUCCCAGCACUCCAUUAGCAAGCCAGCCAGGUGCUGGCUGCUGUCUAAACUGGCAUCCUUUUUCUUUUGUUUUUUAUUUUUUGAAGCAAAGAUUUUUAGCAUUUGGUUUGUUUUUAGUUGAUCUCAGCUGUGGAGUCAAGAUACGCAGGUAUUUGUUGGCUUAGAAGUAGAUGGAUGACCCUUGAAGGUAACUGGACUUUUUCCUGCCAGCUUGUCUGCUCAACUUUCCAAAGGGAAGACAGGGAACAUUAAUUGACAGCUACUCUGGCUAGUGGCCUGACAACUCAGACUCCUGGGCUAGCCUACUUGAAGAUGAGACACCAUGUGGAGCAGAGAAGCCUUCCCAGCCGAGCCCCACAGACCAAACCGGGUUUCUAGUUGCAAGAUCAUCUAUCCCCAGUGGAGCUGCCAGCUUACUGGAGAGUCAGCUGAGCCAACCCAUGCCUGAAGAACUCUCAGCUGACCCAGAGAAUGAUGAGAAAUAAUAAACAUGAGAAAUAAAGUUUGUUGUUUUAAGCCACU